rnacentral:rRNA from 1 species
AUGAACGCUGGCGGCGUGCCUAAUACAUGCAAGUCGAGCGAACAGACGAGGAGCUUGCUCCUCUGACGUUAGCGGCGGACGGGUGAGUACACGUGGAUAACCUACCUAUAAGACUGGGAUAACUUCGGGAAACCGGAGCUAAUACCGGAUAAUAUAUUGAACCGCAUGGUUCAAUAGUGAAAGACGGUUUUGCUGUCACUUAUAGAUGGAUCCGCGCCGCAUUAGCUAGUUGGUAAGGUAACGGCUUACCAAGGCAACGAUGCGUAGCCGACCUGAGAGGGUGAUCGGCCACACUGGAACUGAGACACGGUCCAGACUCCUACGGGAGGCAGCAGUAGGGAAUCUUCCGCAAAGGGCGAAAGCCUGACGGAGCAACGCCGCGUGAGUGAUGAAGGUCUUCGGAUCGUAAAACUCUGUUAUUAGGGAAGAACAAAUGUGUAAGUAACUAUGCACGUCUUGACGGUACCUAAUCAGAAAGCCACGGCUAACUACGUG